rnacentral:rRNA from 1 species
CUCAGAUUGAACGCUGGCGGCAGGCUUAACACAUGCAAGUCGAGCGGAAACGAGAAUAGCUUGCUAUUCGGCGUCGAGCGGCGGACGGGUGAGUAAUGCUUGGGAAUAUGCCUUAUGGUGGGGGACAACAGUUGGAAACGACUGCUAAUACCGCAUAACGUCUACGGACCAAAGGGGGGGUUCUUCGGACCUCUCGCCAUUUGAUUAGCCCAAGUGAGAUUAGCUAGUUGGUAAGGUAAUGGCUUACCAAGGCGACGAUCUCUAGCUGGUUUGAGAGGAUGAUCAGCCACACUGGGACUGAGACACGGCCCAGACUCCUACGGGAGGCAGCAGUGGGGAAUAUUGCACAAUGGGCGAAAGCCUGAUGCAGCCAUGCCGCGUGUGUGAAGAAGGCUUCGGGUUGUAAAGCACUUUCAGCGAGGAGGAAAGGGUUAGUAGUUAAUAAGCUGCUAGCUGUGACGUUACUCGCAGAAGAAGCACCGGCUAACUUCGUGCCAGCAGCCGCGGUAAUACGAGGGGUGCAAGCGUUAAUCGGAAUUACUGGGCGUAAAGCGUGCGUAGGUGGUUUGUUAAGCAAGAUGUGAAAGCCCUGGGCUCAACCUGGGAACUGCAUUUUGAACUGGCAAGCUAGAGUUUUGUAGAGGGUAGUGGAAUUUCCAGUGUAGCGGUGAAAUGCGUAGAGAUUGGAAGGAACAUCAGUGGCGAAGGCGGCUACCUGGACAAAGAGGACACUGAGGCACGAAAGCGUGGGAGCAAACAGGAUUAGAUACCCUGGUAGUCCACGCCGUAAACGAUGUCAACUAGCCGUCUGUGGUCUUGAACCGUGGGU